AAGACACUAGUAAAAAUUAUUACACUGCUUUGUCAAGGCAGAAUUGUGGGUUAGACUCCCGCGUAUCUUG
rnacentral:tRNA from 2 species